GAUGAACGCUGGCGGCGUGCCUAAUACAUGCAAGUCGAGCGAACGGACGAGAAGCUUGCUUCUCUGAUGUUGGCGGCGGACGGGUGAGUAACACGUGGAUAACCUACCUAUAAGACUGGGAUAACUUCGGGAAACCGGAGCUAAUACCGGAUAAUAUUUUGAACCGCAUGGUUCAAAAGUAAAAGACGGUCUUGCUGUCACUUAUAGAUGGAUCCGCGCUGCAUUAGCUAGUUGGUAAGGUAACGGCUUACCAAGGCAACGAUGCAUAGCCGACCUGAGAGGGUGAUCGGCCACACUGGAACUGAGACACGGUCCAGACUCCUACGGGAGGCAGCAGUAGGGAAUCUUCCGCAAUGGGCGAAAGCCUGACGGAGCAACGCCGCGUGAGUGAUGAAGGUCUUCGGAUCGUAAAACUCUGUUAUUAGGGAAGAACAUAUGUGUAAGUAACUGUGCACAUCUUGACGGUACCUAAUCAGAAAGCCACGGCUAACUACGUGCCAGCAGCCGCGGUAAUACGUAGGUGGCAAGCGUUAUCCGGAAUUAUUGGGCGUAAAGCGCGCGUAGGCGGUUUUUUAAGUCUGAUGUGAAAGCCCACGGCUCAACCGUGGAGGGUCAUUGGAAACUGGAAAACUUGAGUGCAGAAGAGGAAAGUGGAAUUCCAUGUGUAGCGGUGAAAUGCGCAGAGAUAUGGAGGAACACCAGUGGCGAAGGCGACUUUCUGGUCUGUAACUGACGCUGAUGUGCGAAAGCGUGGGGAUCAAACAGGAUUAGAUACCCUGGUAGUCCACGCCGUAAACGAUGAGUGCUAAGUGUUAGGGGGUUUCCGCCCCUUAGUGCUGCAGCUAACGCAUUAAGCACUCCGCCUGGGGAGUACGACCACAAGGUUGAAACUCAAAGGAAUUGACGGGGACCCGCACAAGCGGUGGAGCAUGUGGUUUAAUUCGAAGCAACGCGAAGAACCUUACCAAAUCUUGACAUCCUUUGACAACUCUAGAGAUAGAGCCUUCCCCUUCGGGGGACAAAGUGACAGGUGGUGCAUGGUUGUCGUCAGCUCGUGUCGUGAGAUGUUGGGUUAAGUCCCGCAACGAGCGCAACCCUUAAGCUUAGUUGCCAUCAUUAAGUUGGGCACUCUAAGUUGACUGCCGGUGACAAACCGGAGGAAGGUGGGGAUGACGUCAAAUCAUCAUGCCCCUUAUGAUUUGGGCUACACACGUGCUACAAUGGACAAUACAAAGGGCAGCGAAACCGCGAGGUCAAGCAAAUCCCAUAAAGUUGUUCUCAGUUCGGAUUGUAGUCUGCAACUCGACUACAUGAAGCUGGAAUCGCUAGUAAUCGUAGAUCAGCAUGCUACGGUGAAUACGUUCCCGGGUCU
rnacentral:rRNA from 1 species